GAGUUUGAUCAUGGCUCAGAUUGAACGCUGGCGGCAUGCCUUACACAUGCAAGUCGAACGGCAGCACGGGAGCUUGCUCCUGGUGGCGAGUGGCGAACGGGUGAGUAAUGCAUCGGAACGUAUCCUGGAGUGGGGGAUAACGUAGCGAAAGUUACGCUAAUACCGCAUAUUCUGUGAGCAGGAAAGCGGGGGACCUUCGGGCCUCGCGCUCUUGGAGCGGCCGAUGUCGGAUUAGCUAGUUGGUGAGGUAAAGGCUCACCAAGGCGACGAUCCGUAGCAGGUCUGAGAGGAUGAUCUGCCACACUGGAACUGAGACACGGUCCAGACUCCUACGGAGGCAGCAGUGGGGAAUUUUGGACAAUGGGGGCAACCCUGAUCCAGCCAUGCCGCGUGAGUGAAGAAGGCCUCGGUUGUAAG
rnacentral:rRNA from 2 species